rnacentral:rRNA from 1 species
UACGAAGGGGGCUAGCGUUGUUCGGAAUUACUGGGCGUAAAGCGUAUGCAGGCGGAUCGUUAAGUCGGGGGUGAAAUCCCGAGGCUCAACCUCGGAACUGCCUUCGAUACUGGCGACCUUCGAGUCCGGGAGAGGUGAGUGGAACUCCGAGUGUAGAGGUGAAAUUCGUAGAUAUUCGCAAGAACACCAGUGGCGAAGGCGGCUCACUGGCCCGAUACUGACGCUGAGGCACGAAAGCGUGGGGAGCAAACAGG